CCUGGAGUCUGUGCGUCUCAGGGCCUGGGAGUUUCCGGGGCACGUGGCGACCCAAUGUCGUUUGCCUUACAAGGCAGACGCAGAAGAGAGCAUCUCUCCAGUCGCCUGGGCUCCUGGUCUAGUCCAUCCUCCAGUCUGGUUUCCAUCUGAAAGCUCAGAGUUGACAUUUUGAUACUGACUUGAGAGUUUUACAUACCUUGCUGAAUACACUUGAUAAAUCACAUUUACAAUGAAGAAUAUAUAUGGCUACAGAUACUUAUAAACGUAAAGUAUUUUGGUGACCUCAACUGACCAAGUCAUCCCGGAACACUUCACAUUACUUGGAAAAUUAAUUGAAUUCCCUCAGACAUUUCAAACUCUAAUUGGACCUCAUCACUCCCAAAGAACCCUGACUCAUCCUGUGAUGACACAGAGGCAUAGCAGGGCCUUCUGCCUCUCACCCGUGAUCAUUCUGAGGCGAUUACCAGAUUCACAAGCCCUCCUAGGUCUGCCUUUAUGGAAUGUGCCUACUGUAUUUUUGGGAUUUAGGACCUGUCUCCAAUGUGAAACCCUAAAGGGAAGCUUGGGACUUUUAUUACCCAUCUCUCCCCAGCCAACAGUGUUUGUUCCUCCCUGGCAAAAUGUAAGACACUUUGCUAUGUAAUCCAAGUGUAACCUGGCCUUGCUGCCUGGAUAUCUACAAUGGGAAUGGGAUAAGCCGAGAUUUUAAUGCCAAAGUUAUUAUAACACUUAGGGCCUUUUUACUAGGUUUCCAUUCCCGGGUAUUUCUACAGAGAAUAAUGAUGUGUUCCA